GUCCCACCACAGUGAGCACAGGCUCUGGUGCUUUCUCCUCAGUGCUUUUCAGCCUGAAUUCAUCAGGUUUUCAACCCAAGUUGAGUUUCUUGGCUCCAUGGGAGAGCCAAGGUGCUCAGGGCUGGCUGUUAGAUAUUGCUUUGCCUCAAGGUUUGGGGUUGGAUGAGCUCUGAGCAGCAGCUUCAGCAUCAGCUUCAGGGUGGGCUUGGUUUGGAAGAGCUGAAUAAGAUGGGAUUUAAGGAGAGCAAUAAGCUGGGCUUAAGGAGAGCAAUAAACUGGGAUUUAACAAGAGCAAUAAGAUGGGAUCCCUGGCAAGCAAUCAGCAGGGACUUAAGGACAGCAAUCAGCAGGGACCCAAGGAGAGCAAUGAGCUGGGAUUUAAGGAGAGCAAU